rnacentral:tRNA from 1 species
GUGGUUGUACUUUAGUGGUGAGAAUUCCCUGUUGUGGCCGUGGAGACUUGGGCUCGAAUCCCAGCAGCCACA